rnacentral:rRNA from 1 species
GACGAACGCUGGCGGCGUGCUUAACACAUGCAAGUCGAACGGUAAGGCCCUUCGGGGUACACGAGUGGCGAACGGGUGAGUAACACGUGGGUGAUCUGCCCUGCACUUCGGGAUAAGCUUGGGAAACUGGGUCUAAUACCGGAUAGGACCACGGUCUGCAUGGAUUGUGGUGGAAAGCUUUUGCGGUGUGGGAUGGGCCCGCGGCCUAUCAGCUUGUUGGUGGGGUGAUGGCCUACCAAGGCGACGACGGGUAGCCGGCCUGAGAGGGUGUCCGGCCACACUGGGACUGAGAUACGGCCCAGACUCCUACGGGAGGCAGCAGUGGGGAAUAUUGCACAAUGGGCGCAAGCCUGAUGCAGCGACGCCGCGUGGGGGAUGACGGCCUUCGGUGUAACCUCUUUCAGCAGGGACGAAGGGUGGACUGACGGUACCGUGUAG